rnacentral:rRNA from 1 species
UACGAGUGCCUCAAGCGUUAUCCGGAAUUAUUGGGCGUAAAGGUUGUGUAGGUGGUCAUAUUAGUCUUUUGUUAAAUUCUUCGGCUUAACCGGGGGCAUGCAGGGGAAACGGUAUGACUAGAGGAUGCGAGGGGUCUGCGGAACUCAUAGUGUAGCGGUGAAAUGCGUUGAUAUUAUGGGGAACACCAAAAGCGAAGGCAGCAGACUGGAGCACUCCUGACACUGAAACAAGAAAGCGUGGGUCGCGAAUGGG